rnacentral:rRNA from 1 species
CCUACGGGAGGCAGCAGUGGGGAAUAUUCGGCAAUGGGCGCAAGCCUGACCCAGCAAUGCCGCGUGAACGAAGAAGGUCUUCGGGUCGUAAACUUCUUUUGUCAGGGAAGAGUAGCAGACGGUACCUGACGUCUCAGCUACGGCUUACUAUGUGCCAGCAGCCGCGGUAAUACGUAGGCGGCAAGCGGUGUCCGGGUUUACUGGGUGUCAAGGGCGUGGAGCCGGGUUGACAAGUCAUAUGUGAACUCCUGCGGCUUAAACGCAGAACUGCAUUUGAAACUGGUGGGCUUGAGUACAGGAGAGGGAGGUGGAAUUCCAAGUGUAGCGGUAAAAUGCGUAGAUAUUUGGAAGAACACCAGUGGCGAAGGCGGUCUGCUGGACAGCAACUGACGGUGAGGCACGAAAGCGUGGGGAGCAAACAGGAUUAGAUACCCUAGUAGUC